CUUGAGUUUUGUCCAGUGCACCAAAGGCUAAGAUUAGCAGAUACUAGAAUUUCCAUGCAGGAUAUUUUAAAAGGUUGUGAAACUGGUUUAGUGACUUCGCCUUAAGGGUGGACACAAGUGAGUCAAGAGAUUUAUAGGGAAAGGAUUUCUUUAAAGAUAGUUGCAGUUGGGCCAAAUGAAGGAAGCUCUCAAGAACUAUUCAGAACACCUGGCAUGUUUCUCCUGGAGAUUGAGAACAGGCUUGAGGAAAAGGUCGGCUUAGCAGAGCAGGAAAAGUAGCAGUGCCUUCAGAGAGUGAGAUGACUGCUCAUCUAUCAAAGGAGUCGGGGGAAAGAGUGAGUGUAGGGCAAGAACAAAGACAUGUUCUUCUGGGCCACGUAGACCCACAGAGGAAAGCUGGUCUUGAGUCAGUGUAAAGAACCUAACGGGAAAUCCAGAGAGAAAGCGCCGCUGUAUGCAGAAUCUGAUGAGGCAUUUUAGGCAUUCAGUCAAAGCUAAAGAGUAGCCCAGUAAGAGACCCCCAGAUGGGACAUUUCUGAAGAAUCUACAAAACUUCUCUGUGAAAUACAUCGUUAAAAUGUGGACAUCUGCUGCACCCAGAGGGAACCUCUUUCAGUUCACCGUGGCUCCUGAAGAGCCAGGACAGAAUGCUCUUGGGAAAAAAAGAAGUAGAAAGGCUCCACUGGCAGAGGAGCAGCAGAGAAGGAGAGAAGAGAAGAAGGAGCUUGACAUCAGUGAGAAGCAGCCUUGACUUCAGAGAGACAGCUUGACAAUGGGACCCCAAAGAAGAGUUUAGCUGCGGAUAGUAGAACUCCAGGGGAAGACUAACUUCUCACUCCAUCCCCUUUCUAGCUCUCCAUCCCUUCCCACUGAGAGCCACUUCCAAUGGCAAUAAAAUCCCCCACAUUUAUCAUCUUCAAUUUGUUUGUGCAAUCUGAUUUCUCCUAGAUGCGGAACAAGAGCUUGGGAUACAAAGGGCUGUCACACUGAACUGUUAAACACUUAAAGCUAAAAGAGUGCACUCUAACACACACCUUCUGAGGCGUAAGGGCCCCCUAGAUGCUGCUGUGGGACCACACAGAGUUAUUCUCCUGCUAGUGCCCAGAAGCAUACUCAUCUCAGCCACUGCACUGGCUCACCUCCAUGCUCCCAUCCCAUGAAGGGUUGAGAGCUGUGGGCUGAGUAAACAAGUCACCCCCUUCAUGAAUACCAUGACAGCAUCAGAAAAAGAUUUCCUGUUUUAAUUCUAGCAUUAUGAGAGCUCUCAGAGAAAUCAUUAUUUCCUUUAUAUUAAAGGAGACCAAGUCUUCCCUGUGUUUUCAUGGUUGCUAGUAUAUGGUCUUCUUUUAAGUUCAUCACCAAGUUAAUCUCACUGUCCACAUCUACAUUUUUUUUAAGACCUCCGUUAGUCUACAAGAUUUGGUAAACAACAACAAAAUUGCUAAAGAGAGUUGCCAUUUGUCUUAUACACUGGCAGACUUUUUUUCAAAGUGAUUCUUAAGCAUUGGAUUGUAUCAAAUAACCAGUUCCAAUCCUUUGAGGUUCUGUUAAGUGCACUUUGAAUUCUGAGUCUGCUGAAGCCUUCAGUCAAAUAAUUUGAAAAUAGGAGUACAAAUAGGGUCAGAAUCUUUAGAUCUGAAAAAUAUCACUCUCAAGUUUCAUUCCCAUUUUUUCUAAUCUUCUCUAAGUAAAACAAUCACAUACUUGUUUAUUUUAUAUAAUUAUUUUAGAAACUGUCUAAGCUAAAAUUGGUAUUGACUUAUUACAAUUCAGACUAUUCUUGGCCAGGCUCAGUGGCUGACACCUGUAAUCCCAGGACUUUGGGAGGCCAAGGCCAGUGGAACAUCUGAGGUCAGGAUUUUGCCACCAGCCUGGCCAACAUGGUGAAAUCCCGUCUUUAUUCAAAACACAAAAAUUAUCUGGACCUGUUGGCUCGAGCUUGUAAUCCCAGCUACUUGGGAGGCUGAGGCACAAAAAUCACUUAAACCUGGGAGGUGGGGGUUGCAGUCAGCCUAGAUGGCACCACUGCACUCCAGCCUGGGCAAAAGAGUGAGACUCUGCCUCAAAAAAAAAAAAAAAAAAAAAGAUUAUUCUUAAGAUACAUAUAAUUAACGUUUUCUUGGCAUCUAGUCUGGGUAAGCACUAGGUUAUUACCAAUAGCACAAGGAUCAAUGAUUACAUAGUGUCUAACUUUGAGAUCACAGUAAUAGAAAUUAAGUGAGUUAACUAAAAAAGAAUAAAGAAAAUACAGUAUCCAAGAAGGUCCUUUACAACUGCAUUAGUUGGUUUGCGCUAACUGUAUCAUAAACUCAGAAGUUUAAUAACAAUGGUUCAUAAUUGCAUGGCAUUCACCAUGUACCAGAUAUGUUCUAAGUAAUUCUUUAUACCUAAGAAAUAUUGCUAUUCCUCUUUUGCAAAUGAGGAAUUGAGACACAGAGAGAGAAUGCCAUUGGAGUGAUUCCAGACAACCCAGAAACUGAACCCAGCCAGUUUGGCUUCAGUGUCCAAUCUGCCAACAGGUAUGGUACAGCCUCUCACUAAACUCUGCUCUUGACCACUGGGUCUUCAACUGCCCUCUUCUUCCCCCUGUUUUGAAAGUUUUACACUUUUCUUAUUCUCCUAUCUCAUUACACUAUUCUAAUUGCCUGAAAUGCUCUUUGUCCAUUUUCCCUGUGGCACUUACUCUUACUCAGCAUACAAAACUCAGUUCAUGGUUUACUCUUUCUCCUGAAUCUUUAAUUUAGAGUUACCACCUCUAGAUUCCCAUAGUAUCUUGUGCUAUCUUGUGAAUAUGUAUAUGUAUGGCUAGUAUGUGUUGAGUAGUGUUAUCUACCAAGGAAUAAAGGCUUCUCUUGGAUUAUUUUGUUCCAUCUUUGCAACAACCCUACAGGGAAGAUACUCCUUUUCACUGAAAGAAUAUUAGGACAUCGUCAUAAUUCAGGAAAUGGCUUAAGGUUAGAAUUAAUUACUUAAUUGUUACUGACAAGGUC
ensembl:lncRNA